rnacentral:lncRNA from 1 species
GGAAUGGCUGMAGCAGUGGUGCCCGUCGAUAAGCCACCGUGCUAUACCUUAUGUAAGUGCUAUAAGUGAUAGGUCUUAUGACGAUGCCAUUAUAAUCAGUAACUGAAUAAUUUAUGAAUUAUUUCACCAAGGACUUCUGGAGACGGACUGUGCUGACCCCACUGAGACCCCACUGACGUAUCCAUGGUAAUUUUAAAGAGAAGUGCGUAAUGCCUGGGAGCAAUUCGUAGCAGGUCGGAAACAUCCUGAUCAUUCAGUGCAUUAUGGACCUAGGCAGCUGCGUCAGCUAAGAGCGCAUCUGUCUUCAUUGCAAAGAGGGCUGAGGCAGUUUUUUAAAGCUCCUGGUUAUUAUUUCAAAAGUGUUGGAAGAGGAAAAGUGAUAUACUGCCUUCUSUAAGGCUGUAUCCUGCUGCAGGACUGCCCAGCCUUGUUGCUGAGUUAUACAAAACAGUAAAAUACCAGUUUGAGAUGAAGAAGUUGAACUCUGACAGCUUACACCAAAACUUKGGACAGAAUGUAUGGAAGAUGGUCCUACAAGAUGGUUUCUGAUCGGCUUUCCAAGCCUCCAGAAUGGAGAGUCUUGUCUAGUUAAUGAAGGCUCAUAGG